rnacentral:piRNA from 1 species
UCGGAGAGAUUGAAGAAGACCUGCUCAGG